rnacentral:RNase_P_RNA from 1 species
GUGAGCUGGCGGACGGCUUUCGAACGCAUCGAAGCGUUUGAGGAAACUCCGCCCACCAGAGCAGAACUGCAACGCCCUCAAGGGCGUAAGACGAGAGUCUUGGCUCCGAAACAGAAACGAAACGUCCACCCAACGAAAGGACGAUGAUACAUGCUAAGUUGUUGAGGAUGUUAGGGUGGAAACGGUGAAACGGUCGCCCUGCAGGGUGAAAGGGCAAAUAGGUGCCUAUGAUCUUCUGCAAAAGGCACGGGUAGCCCGUUUAGCUGAAUGCCGUCUUUGAACAGAAGGCGGGUUACGCCCAGCACAC